GGGUUGUGAGGUUAAGCGACUAAGCGUACACGGUGGAUGCCUAGGCAGUCAGAGGCGAUGAAGGGCGUGCUAAUCUGCGAAAAGCGUCGGUAAGCUGAUAUGAAGCGUUAUAACCGACGAUACCCGAAUGGGGAAACCCAGUGCAAUACGUUGCACUAUCGUUAGAUGAAUACAUAGUCUAACGAGGCGAACCGGGGGAACUGAAACAUCUAAGUACCCCGAGGAAAAGAAAUCAACCGAGAUUCCCCCAGUAGCGGCGAGCGAACGGGGAGGAGCCCAGAGUCUGAAUCAGUUUGUGUGUUAGUGGAAGCGUCUGGAAAGUCGCACGGUACAGGGUGAUAGUCCCGUACACCAAAAUGCACAGGCUGUGAACUCGAUGAGUAGGGCGGGACACGUGACAUCCUGUCUGAAUAUGGGGGGACCAUCCUCCAAGGCUAAAUACUCCUGACUGACCGAUAGUGAACCAGUACCGUGAGGGAAAGGCGAAAAGAACCCCGGCGAGGGGAGUGAAAUAGAACCUGAAACCGUGUACGUACAAGCAGUGGGAGCACCUUCGUGGUGUGACUGCGUACCUUUUGUAUAAUGGGUCAGCGACUUAUAUUUGUAGCAAGGUUAACCGAAUAGGGGAGCCGUAGGGAAACCGAGUCUUAACUGGGCGUCUAGUUGCAAGGUAUAGACCCGAAACCCGGUGAUCUAGCCAUGGGCAGGUUGAAGGUUGGGUAACACUAACUGGAGGACCGAACCGACUAAUGUUGAAAAAUUAGCGGAUGACUUGUGGCUGGGGGUGAAAGGCCAAUCAAACCGGGAGAUAGCUGGUUCUCCCCGAAAGCUAUUUAGGUAGCGCCUCGUGAACUCAUCUUCGGGGGUAGAGCACUGUUUCGGCUAGGGGCCAUCCCGGCUUACCAAACCGAUGCAAACUCCGAAUACCGAAGAAUGUUAUCACGGGAGACACACGGCGGGUGCUAACGUCCGUCGUGAAGAGGGAAACAACCCAGACCGCCAGCUAAGGUCCCAAAGUCAUGGUUAAGUGGGAAACGAUGUGGGAAGGCACAGACAGCCAGGAUGUUGGCUUAGAAGCAGCCAUCAUUUAAAGAAAGCGUAAUAGCUCACUGGUCGAGUCGGCCUGCGCGGAAGAUGUAACGGGGCUAAACCAUGCACCGAAGCUGCGGCAGCGACACUUAGGUGUUGUUGGGUAGGGGAGCGUUCUGUAAGCCGUUGAAGGUGACCUGUGAGGGUUGCUGGAGGUAUCAGAAGUGCGAAUGCUGACAUAAGUAACGAUAAUGCGGGUGAAAACCCGCACGCCGGAAGACCAAGGGUUCCUGUCCAACGUUAAUCGGGGCAGGGUGAGUCGACCCCUAAGGCGAGGCUGAAAAGCGUAGUCGAUGGGAAACAGGUUAAUAUUCCUGUACUUGGUGUUACUGCGAAGGGGGGACGGAGAAGGCUAGGCUGGCCGGGCGACGGUUGUCCCGGUUUAAGCGUGUAGGGGAGUGACCAGGUAAAUCCGGUUGCUUAUCAACCCUGAGGCGUGAUGACGAUGCACCACGGUGCAGAAGCAGUUGAUGCCAUGCUUCCAGGAAAAGCCUCUAAGCAUCAGGUAACAUUAAAUCGUACCCCAAACCGACACAGGUGGUCAGGUAGAGAAUACUCAGGCGCUUGAGAGAACUCGGGUGAAGGAACUAGGCAAAAUGGUGCCGUAACUUCGGGAGAAGGCACGCUGGCGUUAGGUGAAAGGACUAGCUCCUGGAGCUGAAGCCAGUCGCAGAUACCAGCUGGCUGCAACUGUUUAAUAAAAACACAGCACUGUGCAAACACGAAAGUGGACGUAUACAGUGUGACGCCUGCCCGGUGCUGGAAGGUUAAUUGAUGGGGUCAGCCGCAAGGCGAAGCUCUUGAUCGAAGCCCCAGUAAACGGCGGCCGUAACUAUAACGGUCCUAAGGUAGCGAAAUUCCUUGUCGGGUAAGUUCCGACCUGCACGAAUGGCGUAAUGAUGGCCAGGCUGUCUCCACCCGAGACUCAGUGAAAUUGAACUCGCUGUGAAGAUGCAGUGUACCCGCGGCAAGACGGAAAGACCCCGUGAACCUUUACUAUAGCUUGACACUGAACAUUGAGCCUUGAUGUGUAGGAUAGGUGGGAGGCCUUGAAGUGUGGACGCCAGUCUGCAUGGAGCCAACCUUGAAAUACCACCCUUUAAUGUUUGAUGUUCUAACUCGGCCCCAUGAUCUGGGGUGAGGACAGUGUCUGGUGGGUAGUUUGACUGGGGCGGUCUCCUCCCAAAGAGUAACGGAGGAGCACGAAGGUUAGCUAAUCACGGUCGGACAUCGUGAGGUUAGUGCAAAGGCAUAAGCUAGCUUGACUGCGAGAGUGACGGCUCGAGCAGGUACGAAAGUAGGUCUUAGUGAUCCGGUGGUUCUGAAUGGAAGGGCCAUCGCUCAACGGAUAAAAGGUACUCCGGGGAUAACAGGCUGAUACCGCCCAAGAGUUCAUAUCGACGGCGGUGUUUGGCACCUCGAUGUCGGCUCAUCACAUCCUGGGGCUGAAGUAGGUCCCAAGGGUAUGGCUGUUCGCCAUUUAAAGUGGUACGCGAGCUGGGUUUAGAACGUCGUGAGACAGUUCGGUCCCUAUCUGCCGUGGGCGUUGGAAGAUUGAGAGGGGCUGCUCCUAGUACGAGAGGACCGGAGUGGACGAAUCACUGGUGUUCGGGUUGUCAUGCCAAUGGCAUUGCCCGGUAGCUAAAUUCGGAAGAGAUAACCGCUGAAAGCAUCUAAGCGGGAAACUUGCCUCGAGAUGAGUCUUCCCUGGGGCUUAAAGCCCCUGAAGGAACGUUAAAGACUAUGACGUUGAUAGGCUGGGUGUGUAAGUGCAGCGAUGUAUUGAGCUAACCAGUACUAAUGAUCCGUGAGGCUUAACCUUACAACACCGAAGGUGUUU
rnacentral:rRNA from 1 species